rnacentral:rRNA from 1 species
AGUGAACGCUGGCGGUAGGCCUAACACAUGCAAGUCGAACGGCAGCACAGUAAGAGCUUGCUCUUACGGGUGGCGAGUGGCGGACGGGUGAGGAAUACAUCGGAAUCUACUUUUUCGUGGGGGAUAACGUAGGGAAACUUACGCUAAUACCGCAUACGACCUACGGGUGAAAGCAGGGGAUCCUCGGACCUUGCGCGAUUGAAUGAGCCGAUGUCGGAUUAGCUAGUUGGCGGGGUAAAGGCCCACCAAGGCGACGAUCCGUAGCUGGUCUGAGAGGAUGAUCAGCCACACUGGAACUGAGACACGGUCCAGACUCCUACGGGAGGCAGCAGUGGGGAAUAUUGGACAAUGGGCGCAAGCCUGAUCCAGCCAUACCGCGUGGGUGAAGAAGGCCUUCGGGUUGUAAAGCCCUUUUGUUGGGAAAGAAAAGCAGCAGGUUAAUACCCCGCUGUUCCGACGGUACCCAAAGAAUAAGCACCGGCUAACUUCGUG